UAUAAAUGUUUCGUAUACCUUCAUAUAUCCUCGAUAAUAUGGUUCGAGAGUCUCUACCGGGUCACCUUAAACGAUCUGACUAUGAAGGCAGAACAGUCUAUU
rnacentral:ncRNA from 3 species